rnacentral:sRNA from 2 species
GUUCCGUUCGCAACAAUCGCAUGGCAGAGGCGGGGGAACCAAUUGUGGGCUUCUUCUUGAAGUCCUUGGGGUUAAGUCGCUGGAUCUGAGACGAUCCGCGGCCGGGUGACUCCCAUCCGAAUCCGACAGCUCACCUCGCAGGCGUAGGGAGAGGCAAU